UUAAACUUGAGAGUUUGAUCAUGGCUCAGAACGUACGCUGGCGGCACGCCUAACACAUGCAAGUCGAACGAAGUAGCAAUACUUAGUGGCAGACGGGUGAGUAACAUGUGGGUAUCUGCCCUUUGGCCUGGAAUAACACGAGGAAACUUGUGCUAAUACCGGAUAAGUCUUUACGGAGAAAGCUUUAUGCACCAUUGGAUGAGCCCGCACUUGAUUAGUUUGUUGGUGGGGUAAUGGCCUACCAAGACUGUGAUCAAUAGCUGAUUUGAGAGGAUGAUCAGCCACAUUGGGACUGAGACACGGCCCAAACUCCUACGGGAGGCAGCAGUGGGGAAUCUUGCACAAUGGAGGAAACUCUGAUGCAGCGAUGCCGCGUGAGUGAAGAAGGCCCUUGGGUUGUAAAGCUCUUUCGUCGGGGAAGAAAAUGACUGUACCCGAAUAAGAAGGUCCGGCUAACUUCGUGCCAGCAGCCGCGGUAAUACGAAGGGACCUAGCGUAGUUCGGAAUUACUGGGCUUAAAGAGUUCGUAGGUGGUUGAAAAAGUUGGUGGUGAAAUCCCAGAGCUUAACUCUGGAACUGCCAUCAAAACUUUUCAGCUAGAGUAUGAUAGAGGAAAGCAGAAUUUCUAGUGUAGAGGUGAAAUUCGUAGAUAUUAGAAAGAAUACCAAUUGCGAAGGCAGCUUUCUGGAUCAUUACUGACACUGAGGAACGAAAGCAUGGGUAGCGAAGAGGAUUAGAUACCCUCGUAGUCCAUGCCGUAAACGAUGUGUGUUAGACGUUGGAAAUUUAUUUUCAGUGUCGCAGCGAAAGCGAUAAACACACCGCCUGGGGAGUACGACCGCAAGGUUAAAACUCAAAUGAAUUGACGGGGACCCGCACAAGUAGUGGAGCAUGUGGUUUAAUUCGAAGAUACGCGCAGAACCUUACCAACACUUGACAUGUUCGUCGCGACUUUAAGAGAUUAAAGUUUUCGGUUCGGCCGGACGAAACACAGGUGCUGCAUGGCUGUCGUCAGCUCGUGUCGUGAGAUGUUGGGUUAAGUCCCGCAACGAGCGCAACCCUCACUUUUAGUUGCCAUCAUUAAGUUGGGCACUCUGAAAGAACUGCCAGUGAUAAGCUGGAGGAAGGUGGGGAUGACGUCAAGUCCUCAUGGCCCUUACGUGUUGGGCUACACACGUGCUACAAUGGUAUCUACAACAGGAAGCAAGACUGCGAAGUUAAGCAAAUCCCUAAAAGAUACCUCAGUUCGGAUUGCACUCUGCAACUCGAGUGCAUGAAGCUGGAAUUACUAGUAAUCGUGGAUCAGCGUGCCACGGUGAAUGCGUUCCCGGGUCUUGUACACACCGCCCGUCACACCAUGGGAGUUGGUUCUACCUUAAGGCAAGGUUUAAAACCCUUGACCACGGUAUAGUCAGCGACUGGGGUGAAGUCGUAACAAGGUAGCCGUAGGGGAACCUGCGGCUGGAUUACCUCCUUUCU
rnacentral:rRNA from 1 species